UAUUAAAAAAUUUCAUCCAUUUUUACAGUUAAAAAUUGGCAUGGACGAAAUAACCAAACAGUUACACGUAGCGUGCCACAUGUACCUCAUUCUAGCGUACAAGAAUCAGUUUUUAACAACAGAAAUAGAUGAAAUUUUUAACA
rfam:Gossypium hirsutum cultivar TM-1 unplaced genomic scaffold scaffold3887.1, whole genome shotgun sequence